rnacentral:rRNA from 1 species
GACAGAGGGUGCAAACGUUGUUCGGAAUUACUGGGCGUAAAGGGCGCGUAGGUGGCCAACUAAGUCAGACGUGAAAUCCCCAGGCUCAACUUGGGAACUGCGUCUGAUACUGGAUGGCUUGAAUUCGGGAGAGGGAUGCAGAAUUCCAGGUGUAGCGGUGAAAUGCGUAGAUAUCUGGAGGAAUACCGGUGGCGAAGGCGGCAUCCUGGACCGAGAUUGACACUGAUGAGCGAAAGCUAGGGGAGCAAACGGG